ensembl:lncRNA
GUUUUUAGGAGAUUUUUCAGGCUAAUCAACUAUAUUUCCAGAAACGGAAGUCAAUUGAUUCUUUUCAGUAGACUCACCUUCUCUGCUGUAAAAUUCUCAGACUGAACUGGAUGAUCCCUCAGAUCUUUUUAAAAUCCAGAUAUUAUUUUCAACGAAAAUUUAGUAACUUAAAAUUAGUUAUUUUGAACUAACAAGCUCAAUUAGACUUCAAUUAUUCUCUUUAGCCAGAUUGACAGGUAGUGUUAAUGUUUAAAUAUGCAGGGAGUUAAUUUCUUUUAGAAUUGUUGAAAGCACGUGGUUAGCCUACGCUUGCUGAAACAGAAUAUUCUUUACAUAUCUGUAACACUAUUUUCAUUUCUCUAUCAAAUAUCACACCCACGUUUUUCUUUAGUUAUGUAGCCCUUUCCUCAUGAUAUCCUUAUAAUUGCUUUGGGUUUUUGUUUAACAUGUUGUGCUACUUCCUUUCAUUAUGUUUACUUUUGUGUUUGAUUAAUUUUGUCCCUUGAAACAUCACAUGAUCUUCUGCCUGCCAGCUUGGUGGUAACAGUAGUUGUUGUUAUUAUUGCUUUCCUCUAUUUGUUUUGUUAAGGGGGCAAGGAGAGCCCAGGGGCUCUUCCCUGAUAAAACCCUAUUUUGAGUCCAUAAUAGCAUCUACCUUGUUUUUUCCUGAGACAACACACACAGGGUCGUGGUAUCAGAAACAUCCUUGAUGUUAAAAAUGUCUAUUAGCGAAAAUCUCUUCCACAACCAUAAUAUAUUGACUUGGAAAAUUGUUAUAACAUUUCGCUCCCUCAGGCUUCAUUUGGGAUGUGAAAUUUGUAAACAUUACUGUUGUCUCAGAUGUGAAUGUUAGCAAACUAAAUGUCUUUGAAGAAUCUGACAGAUUCACCAAAGCCGAAUUUUAUUUCUAUGGCAAAACAAGUAUCGUCUGUUUGGAUUUAUUAUAUGUAAUUAGGAGCUUACUGGAGUCUAAUGAAGGCUAUCUGUCUAUCACCACUGUUGCAAAACUGUAUCUUUGGCGAUCGAUAUUUUGCGUGUAGAAUAGAAUUUAAUUUUGUGUGUUAGAGAUAUUUUGGUAUUCAGGCAUUGUCAGGCCUCUGGUUUAAGGAAGUUUGAUGGGGUUACUGUGGACUUCAUUGUUCGAAUGAAAAGUUCAGAAUAGAGACUAUAAUGGAAUUUGGAAUCUAUUCUCUGCGUUUGAACACAGUCCAGCCAUUGUAUUAAUACCAAGGCGGAUAGAACAGAGCCGGCCCUACGUGCAAUUUUUCUUACUUUGAAGCAGGCUCCACGAAGAAUUUUUAUGUUUUGUUUUUGAAAAGUAGGUAGAUUAUAUUCUUGGUUCAUCUUUGUUUUGCAGAGGUAAAAUUAGAGUCCUGAGCCUCCUGCUGGCAGAACAAGCUCUCAAUUUCUCACUGUCGAAAUUCAAUCUGAUUUCUAUCUUUUUCACUAAAAAGCUGUCAACAGCAAAUAAGCAUUCCCCAUCAAAGAGCCACAUUCAUUUCUGAGGGAUACAAAUUCCUCUCAUGGGAGAGAAUUCAAGUAAUUUAAAUCGUUUCUGACUUUUAAUUUCUUUCCUAGGAAAUGGGAAAUGAUAUUAGCAUGGACUCUAAGUGCAGUCCAAAAUGAGAGAAAGAAAGACGUGCAGGGAUGCUCUUCAAUGUGACGUCCCCAGGACCUUUAAGCCUCAGAGUACAGCAUGUUUACAAUGCAUAGAACAGUGUUUCCAUCUGCCUUCUUGUUUGCAACUAGCGAUCUAAUCAGAGCUGUAGCUUCAUGCUCUUAAGAUGCAUCAAUACGAAGGCAUUUUUAGAAGCAGACUUGCCAUAGGAGUGUGUAUUGUCACCCUAAGAGAAGGAAAUGCCUCUGAAAUAAAAAAAUGUUUUUCUUUCUUAGAAUUUAGUUUGGGAAAUGGCCCUUUCUUUGGAAAAAAGGUGAAAGUCUAGGUAUUGUCUUAUCUCUUUAUUUUUUCCCUUUUUGGUUUACUUUACUUACUUAUGGUAAAGGUUUAAUGGAGUGCAUUGUUUUGUAGCUGCAUAUUUAUGAGAAGCAAAUGCAUUACUUUGUUUGCAGAACAUCUUUAAAUAGACUUGUAAAAAGGUGAGUUCUUGGUUUUAAACUGUAAAUUUCAUUAUCUUUCAUUCUCUCCUGUCAGUUCAUGCAAACAUUCGCAAUUUGAGAAUCUUCUGAUUGGGAUAAGAAGUGGUAGGCAUGAUUUGCACGUACAAAUAAGUAAGCUACCUGUUACAGUCAAAAGAAAAACUCCCCUUCUGUGCAAAUGUAUUUGACAGUAUUUAGAAAAGAAGCAGCAUUUAAGAAGUAGAUUUGGCGUGAGCUAGAAAUCUACCACAAAGGUUAUCAGAUGACUUGUAGGACUUUGAAAGUCCUCCUUCUUUUCUUAGGAGUAUUCUGAUUAGUCACGUUCCCCAUAAAAUGAAGAUAACUGGAAUUGACUCAGAAUUGCAAGUGGUAUCUCGUUGGCACAGAAUAAAAUGCAAUCCAACUAUAUUUUUUGAUCCAGCAUAUAUAUGUCUGUGUGUAUCUAUCUCCCCAUCUAGCUAUCUAAAUCCUGGAUUCAGAAUUCUCCCUCCACACUUCAAUAUAUUGCUGUUGCAUCUUACUGUUCAAAUUCAACAAUUAGCCUGCCACCAAAGUGCUCUGGGUGAUGCAGUUUGCAAGGGUCCACUUUCCAGAGCCCAGAAUAGGGCAGAAAAGGGAAAAGAACAGAACUAGGGGUACAAAUGAAUAAAAAGGGGUGAAGUUUUGCCAUCCUUCUUGCCCCAUCUCCAGCCCAUCUGCCUGCUUUCUCUGUAUCCUGCCCCUGACCUACCGGCCUUCUCAGCAGCUGCUCUUUUCCCCUCCCAGCUUUCGCACAUGCUGCUCCUUCUUUCUGAGAUUCCUUCUUCCAGUCCGUUUUCAUGUGCAUAGCUUCUUCUCCUUGGUGGCCCUACUGAAACACCAUUUCUCAGGGAGGCUUUGGGAGACCUCAACAUUUCAGAGUCCUAAUUGAUAAAGGAUGCUGAACCAUCGCUCGAAAUGCAGUGAAUUGAGGACAAACUGAAUUUACCAGUCUUCUCAAAAUGCCAGUGUCAGGAGAGUGGGGACUUUGUUUUGUUCACUGCUGUGGCCCCAGCGAGCAGACUAAUAUCUGGCAUAUAACAGACGCUCGAUACACAUUUGUGGAAAGAAGGGAGAAUUGGACAGUCUCCUUUCUCCUGGAGACACACAGGUAUUUCUUUCUCAACCUCUCUGCCUGAGAAGCAUGAUAUGAGGGUAGGAGAAUAGAUUUUAGAGCUAACAAAGCUGCUUGGUUUCAGAUCUGUCCUUUAUUGGGUGUGCCACCUCAUCUGACUUGACUGAUUUUGCACUCUUCAUGUUCUUCUGUAAAAUAAACUACCAAUAUUUACUUCAUUGUGUUGUAAGAAUUAAGUAAUAUGAAAUGCGUGGAAAUUCAGGGUAAGAAACAUUAAAUAAACGAUUUAUCAUUAUUAUUCUUUUUACCACAUGAGGUUAGUUAUGACCAAACUGUAUUUGUAGCUUCUGCAUCAGGAGAAAGUGAUGGAUGUUUCCCAAUACUGAGAGAGUCUUUGGGAUGGAAGAAUGAACUGUUCAGGUUAGUCCUAUGGGAAAGUGCAGAUUUGAGAAAUAGAAAUUUAUGCCAAGACCAGGGCCUUUCUCCACCUAAAUUUUAUUAGACAUGGGUUAAGUUGGCUCUGAUUAAAGGGAACAAUCAUUUUGAUCAGUUUGGCUCAAAUAACUCUUCAUUUCAGGUGAAAAAAAAGCCAAAUGGUUUCUAAGAGAAGAAGCACAGUAGACUAGAUAGAGCCCGAAGAAUUAGGAACUCUAGCCUCAACUCCCUAAAUGCCUUGUGGAAUUAAUUUUCUCAUCUGUAAAAUGGGUAUGAAAAUCCCUGCCUUCUCUCUUACUUAGGGCUGCUGGGAGGGCUGUGUCAGAGAAUGGACUGAAAUGUCCUAUAUUAACCUUUGGAACCCUGUACCUUUCUUAGAGGCUACCAUUUUUUUUUUUUGGGGAAUUUAGUCUGGUCAAUUAGUGACUGAGAAUGGCCAAUCCUGGUAAAGACUAAGGCAUGAUGGCAGGCGAGAAUGUGAGAGCGUGGUAAACACAUGACACACCGAUUUUUUGCAGUAUCGCCUUUUAGACCAUGAAUGGUGCUUCCUGCUGCAGAUCUGAGAAAGCAUGGGAACAAACACCCCCAAUCCAAGAGAAAGAGGGAUGCCUUACUCUCUUGCAGGAAAAAUGCCUGAAGCUUCCGGGCUGGAAGCAGGAGAGUUAAACACUGUUGCUCAUGGAGAAAUCAAUACCAGCCUCAGUUCUGUUCUGAAGAAUGAGACAGCUCUGUUCCAGUUGGGGUGGGAUGUGUGAAGGAUGUGAUAGCCUGUUCGGGGCCUAGCUUGGCCAGCAAUUGGUAAGGAAGCAACUUGAUAACCCCAGAUGACUGUGACAGUGAAACCCACCGGGGACUUGAAAAUGAGAAUGUCAGUACAUUGCUUUUAUUUAUCUUUUUCUUAAAGACAGAAGGGGAAAAGUUUUAAGGCAAAUAUUGUCUUGAAAUGAUGGAAUGUUUUCAAAAUCUUUGCUGUUAAACUAGCCCAAGAUCUGGGCCUGGCGUACAUCGGAUAGCUUCAAGCAGGUUUUGACUAUGGGAUCAUAUGUUGAUCAGAGAAGCCCAGUAGAUGAUACAGAUAAAAGUGGACCUCUUCUAGCUGAAGGGGAAUAGAGGCCACUGGGAUGGCCGCUGACUAGGUUAUUUGCCCAGUGAUUGUCAUCUUUAGGAUGACAAUCUUCGUGUUCUCUUAGCUCUGGCCACUCUGCUCAGGUUGCCCAGCCCAGUCAGGUCACUCAAAUGCUGCCCCUUUCUGCUGGGCCUCUCAAAGUCAUCAGGGACGACCUGGAUGCUUGGGACUAGGCUUAUCUCAUCUCUUAUCUCUGAAGUGUAUAGCGUAGUGCUGGCACCUAAGGAGGUCAGUGUGCCCUUGCUAAAUUUACCUGGAUUUUCCAUGCGGUCCACCUUUCUGUUACCACCUAGACCUGAGUUCUUCCGCGUUCUUCUGUCCAUCUUUGGAAUCUGUUCUCUGAUUUCUUGGCUCCUUCAGGUCUGGGCUAUUCUACUGAUAUUGGGAAUUUUAUUAAAAUAUUAAGGGGUAAUAUUUGGAUGGAGGCUUUGAAUUCAGUGGAGAUAGAUGGGGGCCUUGAAUGCCAAGAGGAACAUGACUAGGUGUUAAACAAGACGACUCUGCACAACUUAUUUAUGCAUGUCUACAUCCACUCAGCGAACACUUAUUGAGCAUCUAACGUGUGUCUGACACUGUUCCAGAUGAUGGAAAUAACAGCAGAGAAAAACAAAUAGAGUCCCUGCGCUUAAGGAGCUUACCUUCCAGUGGAGGGAAACAGAUAUAAAUGGCAUGAAAAAAUGAACAAGAAAUAAUAGAUACCACAAUGAUAACUGUGAUAUAACAGGGUGGCUGGUGCUCUGGGUGUGUGGUCAGGAAAACUUCCCUAGAAGGGAACUGAGUGAAGAGGGAGCUAGUCCCACAGUGAGCAGAGGAAGAGCAUUUCAGCAAGAGGAGACAAUUAGCGCCAAGGCCCUCCGAUGCUUCCAAAAGCAGGGUGGGAGCACGACAAUAGAUGAGUUCAGAGAGAUCAGAAGGGCCCACGUCUGAUAGGGCUCUGUAAGCCAGGGCAAGUGAUGCGAUGUUAUUCUUUUUGUAAUUAAAUUUUUUUUCUUUAAAUUUAAGAACUUUAUUAACAGGUACUUGCAGUUUGUUGACUUUUUUGGAAAAAUCAAGUUGUAAACUUUUAUUACAAAUUAAAAAUGAGGUUCUUAAAAAUCUCAGCUUGACCGGAUAUGAAACAAUUAAAAAAAGCUGUAAGGGUGUAUUUGGAAAAAGCAGGCUUAAAAAAAGAUCAAACACGUUUGUCAUUACUAAAAAGAUAUCUUUAGGUAAAAAUAAUAAAAACCCCACGCUGCAUAGAUAAUGCAGAAAGUUCUAGUUGCCUGGUCAACGGGCAAAAAGCAAGCACUUAUGGUCUUCAGCUCCAAUCUUUUGUUCGUUUCUUAUUGCUGAAAUUUCAUGUUCAUUUCUUCUUCUUGGAUGACUAAACCGGAUGGUGGUAGAGAUGGUAAACCAGCAUUUACUCAGCCUUGCCCUGCUCAGCCUUGGGAGUGGAUGAUUCUUAGCUGCUGGAUCGGCUGCUUUGGUCUCCUAUGGUUUAGGCUUGUCUGAGCACCUGCGUUGGUAGUUGAAGUUGCUGUGGUACCGCCUUGGGUCUCCUGUCCUCGAUUUUCCUCGUCUUCCUCAUUGUGGUCCUCUCUUGGCUGUCUUUGGUGAGGAGGGCCCCUGCAGAAUCCUGGUCUCUAACCCCGAUGCAUAUUCUGUCCCACUGGUCUACCCUGUUCUCCCACACCCUGGUUGUCAGUGCCCUGAGUCACUUCUUCCCGCACAGGAGGGACGGAACACUGUGGUGACACCCUCAGAGUUUCUGCAGGUAGUUAAGAUGGGACCUGGCCUUUGGGAGCAUUCUCUUAUCCCUCAUUCUUACCCACUUCACUCACUAUUCUGGUAAUCCUGCUGGCAAUUGCGUGGAGGACCCCUGCGAGGUGGGUAGAGGUGCCUCCAUCAUGGUUAGUCUGCUGCAUCGUGACUGCCUUGUGCUGGAACUCCACCUGGGCCUGUAGCAUUUGCUGCCUCUGAGUCCUUUGCUCCUUCAACAACAUCAACCUCCACAGUCUCUCCAUCUCCUACACUGUGGAGGCACUUCCUGGGUUGUUCUUGUUUGUGGCAGUCUGGUGUACAAAUACAUGUAGCUUGAUGUCAUUCCUGUUCAUGAAAUCACAUCUAUUUCUUACAUUGAACCAAUUAACUUUUCCCAAAGCUUCAUUUCACUGACAUUCUUGUCCCCACAGGCAGGUGCCACUCACUUGAGCGUAUCUGCUCGCUGAGCGUCUGCCUGUGGUGCAUGGCUUUGUGUCACAGAGCUGAGGGUGGGCAGGGGUGGCAUGGGACCGCUGGGUCUCGGCCUCCCUGCUUGUGGUUGUGGUGAUGACGACUGAUCAUGAUGGUGACAGAUGAUGACGGUGACUCCUAGGGUGUGAUGGUAACUAGGCCAGUGGUGGCUGUGGGGCUGCUCGGAGCUCCCUGGGGUCAGCUUUCUGCUCCCGCUAUCGAUCUGCAAUGUUAUUCUUAAUGUGAUGAGAAGACGUUGGGUGAUUUUUAAAAAAUCAAACCUUCUAUUUUGAGAUAAUUGUAAAUUUACAUGCAGUUUAAGAAAUAAUGUGAGAGAUCCUGUGUUACGCUAUGCUCAGUUUCCCGCAGUGCUCACAUCUUGAAACAUUGUAAUGCAAUGUCACAACCAGCAUGUUGACAUUGAUGUAAUCCACUGGUCUUCUUCAGAUUUCCCGUUUUACUUUACGUACUCAUUUGUGUGUGCACGUGCAUGUGCAUGUGUGUGUAUUUAGUUCCGUGCAACUUUAUCACUUGUGUAGAGUCGUGUAUCCAUCACCACAGUCAAGAUACAGAACAGCUCCAUCACCAUGAGGGGGCUUCCUGUUGUCUUUUCAUGGUCACAUCCAGGUCCCUCCCACCCCCAUUCUCAGCCCUUACCCCUGGCAAGCACUAAUCUGGUCUCCAUUGCUAUAAUUUUGUCAUUUCAAAAAUAUUGUAUAUAUGAAAUUUGCAGUAUGUAACCUUUUGCGAUUGGCUUUUUUUCAACAUCAAUAUAUAUCAGUAUGCAUGUAUCAAUAGUUUGUUUCGUCUCAUUGCUGAGUAAUAUUAUAUGGUUUUACUUGUGAAUGUAAGUUUUCUUUCUUUCUUUUUUUUUUUUGGAGGAAGAUUAGCCUGAGCUAACUACUACCAAUCCUCCUCUUUUUGCUGAGGAAGACUGGCCCUGAGCUAACAUCCGUGCCCAUCUUCCUUACUUUAUAUGUGGGAUGCCUACCACAGCGUGGCAUGCUAAGCGGUGCCAUGUCUGCGCCCAGGAUCCGAACUGGCGAACCGCGGGCCGCUGAGAAGCAGAACGUGCGAAUUUAACCACUGCGCCACUGGGCUGGCCCCGUGAAUAUGUGAAAUAGAGAAACAGAGGAAGAGAGAAGAGGCAGAAGGCACGGUUGCUAGGAAGAUGAAGAUGAUAUCGCUCUCCAAAGAGGGGAGGGCCUCAGCAGUUCUUGUAUGUGGACUAUGUGUGCGGUACCAUGAAGAUAUCUUUAGACAUUAUCUCAUUGAACUGCCUCAGUGUUCCUCCGCUGUAAGUAACUGCUCAGUUACUUAAUAUAGGAAGAUCCUGAGGGUCAGCAAAAUUAGUGCACAUUGCAUAAGGUUGCAGAUAGAGUAGGUGGCAGAACUUGACUUGAACCCAAAUCUUCCUGACUCCAAGCCCAUGAUCUUUUCUCUGAACCAGGUUGCAAAACGGGUUGUAAACAUGAGAGAUCUUACUACUGCCCUCUGUUCUUGGGCUUUUGGAGACACAUCCUUCAAAGGACACAUCCUCCAAGGAAAGCUGACCUUUUCUUAGCAGACCUGAAAGGACUACACUGUGGCCCACGGGAAGUUCUUUACACUUCUCAAAAUUCAUAACGAGAACAAGAAGUUUGCCUGGAGUCCAUUUAGUGAUUUAUUUCAGGAUGUCUGGCAUGGGCAGCUCAUGGGACGCAUAUCAAGCAGGAAGUGAGGCCCUUGGACUGAAUAAACAGCUGAAGACAGAAGUGGUGGCUGAGCUUCAGACAGGGCAGAGGUGACCUGGCAUCAAACCAGCCGGCACAACUCCUUUCCUUCCUGUUCAUUUGGAUGAUUAUUAAAC